rnacentral:misc_RNA from 1 species
GAUGAGAACGUAGCGAAAUGCGAUAAGUAAUGUGAAUUGCAGAAUUCAGUGAAUCAUCGAAUCUUUGAACGCACAUUGCGCCCGCCAGUAUUCUGGCGGGCAUGCCUGUUCGAGCGUCAUUUCAACCAUCAAGCCCCGGGCUUGUGUUGGGGACCUGCGGCUGCCGCAGGCCCUGAAAUGCAGUGGCGGGCUCGCUGUCACUCCGAGCGUAGUAGUUACAUCUCGCUCUGGGCGUGCUGCGGGUUCCGGCCGUUAAAAGCCUUAUUUACCCAAGGUUGACCUCGGAUCAGGUAGGAAGACCCGCUGAACUUAAGCAUAUCAAUAAGCGGAGGA